rnacentral:tRNA from 1 species
ACCUGGGUGGCUCAGUAGGUUAAGUGUCUGCCUUUGGCUCAGGUCAUGAUCCCGGGGUCCUGGGAUGGAGCCCCAGCUCAGGUU